UACGAAGGGGGCAAGCGUUGUUCGGAAUUACUGGGCGUAAGGGGCGCGCAGGCGGCCAAGUAAGUCAGAUGUGAAAGCCCCGGGCUCAACCUGGGAAUAGCAUUUGGGACUGUUUGGCUAGAGAUCGGGAGAGGAGAGUGGAAUUCCCAGUGUAGAGGUGAAAUUCGCAGAUAUCAGGAAGAACACCCGUGGCUAAGGCGGCUCUCUAGGCAGUAACUGACGCUGAGAAGCGAAAGCGUGGGUAGCGAACAGG
rnacentral:rRNA from 1 species